UAUAAUUAUCUAUGUUAUUUUACUUAUUUUAGUCAUCAUUAUAUAGUGUUUGGAACAUUUAUUAUGCAUUGAAUUUUCAUUCAGCCAAUAACGAUGUUGGUUGCCAUCAUUUAUGGGUAACUUGAAAGUGCAAGUAGUUUAAUUAAUUGGAUUGGUGAAUUCCUUGAAAUUCUUUUUCCAAAGAUGAUCUUUUUUUGGUGUAUGCGGUAAAAUACGUACUCCGUAGAAAUUUAUAUGUUAGACCUUAAAAUUAGUAAAACCACUCACAUGAUAUAGUUAUUUCCUCCUAUAUAAAUGAAGAAAUCUCAAUCUGUCAUCAAUAACAAUAACAUUCUCAAAUUUUAUCUAGGAAGAUGGCGGUGUUCAAAAUAGUUAUUCUGCUUUUUCUAACAUCAUUUAUUGCAUUUACAUUAUUUGCAGAGGUUUCAGAAGGAGAUCAAAAAGAAAUUAGUUAUGGGGCUGUGGGAGAGAAUCAUGUACCAUGUGAUCGCCGAAGUGGAAACAAUGUCAAAUGCCAUACAACACAACCAGAAACUCCAUACAAGCGUGGUUGUAGUCCGCUCACUCGUUGUCGAGGAGAUAAUCCAUCAAAUCCUGGAAUGUUGCUUUAAAUUAAUCAUCAUUCUUUGGAUAAUACUUUUAAUAUGAAUGUAGACACAAUAUUAUUUUGUUUACAAGAUGUUAAUGUUACAAUCAAAAACGUUGUUGGUUUAUAUAUAUAAUAGAUAAGAAGGCGCGUGCUAUGGGCCUAAUAUUUUGAAUUCAAAUAUAGUUUCAUUUGUAUUUAAUUUUAGUUGUAUCCAUUAUCUGAACACUAAAUUGACAUACAUACCUCAUAACAAUCAUAAUUUACAAACAAAAAAUAAUGUCUUGUUCUUUACAAAAUAGCAAGCAUAAAAAAGGUCGUAUUGAAAUAAGAAUAACACUACAUAAGCUAAAGAAAACAAAGUUAAUUUAAUGUCCAAAAACAACCAAUUCAAGAGCGAGAAAGAAAAUCAUUCUUUGGCCAAUGCUAGAUCAAAUUUAAAACUUAAAUGGAGAGUUUGUACCUCGAUUAUCAAAAAUUAGGACAACUGAUUUUGUAGAUUAUUUCUCGAAAAUCGUUUCUUCAUCUUUUUCUAUCCAAUGUGAUAGUUGUUUUGACAAAAAAUUCACUUCUAUUGCACUUUAAUAUAUAUAUAUAUUUUUCUCAUCUCUAAAUAAUGAACCUACCGCGAAAAAGUUGAUGAUGUAACAUAAUAUUAGUUUUUAAGAUAUAGCUACUCAGGAAUAUUAAUAAAUGUCACACUCCUUUUUAAUUCCAAAAAGAUACGUUUUAAGUUCGAAAGGGUUUUCAUUAUUAAAGUGACAAAAAUGAAGAUUGAUUCGAAAAAGGAUUAUUUAUAUUCAAAACUCAGAGUCGCCACUUGUUAUAAAUCGGGUGUGCCAAGUCACCCUUAGAUAUCCUUUUUCAAAACAAUUUUGACUCUAUAAAACUGAUCCACGAAUAAAGAUUCUGACUAAGGAAUUCUGUUGAUCAAGGGGAAGGCGUUAGGCACCCCUCGAUCCCCUGGUUCGACCACGGUCGCUUGGUAGAGCAUAUCGGCUAAUUUGACACUAUGAAUGUAUAAACCACUCAAAGCACACAAAACAAUCAAGCAAGCAAAACAAAACAAAACAAUCCAAAAUUUAGUGUUCAGUUCAAUUAUGCAGUUCCGAAAUUAAAAAAAAAAAACAGAAAUAUAAACCUACACUAUUCUAGGCUAAUCCUAACUACGCUCCAUUGCUUUCUCCACCCGACGUUUUGGGCCUUGAUCAUGCGCCGUCUUCAAUUACAUGAUACUUCGGGGCAUUCUCCGGAUAAAUCAACACAAAUUCCUCGGGGCAUUCCCCGGCCAAAUGAAUACAAUUAAUCCCAAUGCAUAAAUCAAAAUCACUCCACAAACAUUUCAUCAUUCAACAAUUACAUAUCCUAAACUUUGCCUACCCAACCUACUAUUUGCCUACCCCAUUCGACCUAUCAUGAUGCUAUCGGGGAAUUGACAAUUAGAUGCAAAAGUAACGAUAAUAGUGAAUCAAAACAACUAAUUUAUAUUCAUUUUUUAUUAAAUUCUUAAUUCCGCCCCAAAUUUAACUCAAGGUUCCAACAUAACAAUUCACAAUUACUACCUUUAACAAUCCAUAACCAAUAUCAAUGAAAUCAAACGACAAAUCCAAAUCACCAAACAUUCAUAUCAUAUAUCAUUCUUCACACAAAUCAAACACGUAUAAUGAAAUAAAAAUAAGAAGAGAUAGAAUUGGACCUCCGAUCAAGCUUUCAAAAUCAAUGUAUUAUUCCGAUUAAAAUUGAUAGAAUACGUGUCUGCAACCUCAAGUCGAACCUCACCAGUCAACAACCAAAACCGUAACUCGAAGGAGAAUCAACCAAAAAAACAAAACAAAAUCCAAAUCACUUGUUUCGAACUAGGACUACACGGCUCACUGGAAUCGAGAUCGUAUUAUCAUUUUCUAUCACAUUGGAGCUCCGGCAGACACGACAGUCAAUGAAAUGGCUCUUUCUCCAGCUAGAUUUCACCGAAGAAAAAACAGAAGAAUGACUAUUUUUGGGCUACGAAUGAACUAAUUUCACGGGGUAUUCCGACUCCGGGAAAAAGAAAAACUCGCCGAAAAACAGUCAGCUCCAUCCGUUCCCUCUCACUCCGUUACUCUCUCUCUCUCUUCGUUACUCUCUCCUGUAUUUCUUCGUUACUCUCCCCUUUUGUAUGCGUGCAUGAUGGUGGAGAAGAAGAAACCCAAAUCCCUUAACAGUGUGUUCACGAGUGGGUUCUGUAUGGGUAUUGUGAACCAGAAAGAAAGAAAGCAAAAAUGGUGUCCUUUUUUUGUGCUCUCCCUGAUCCUCCUCACUUUUUUUUGUCUGUCUCCCCCUAUAUCUGAUAAAUUGGCAAAAGAUAAAAUAAAAGGAAUAGAGGUAUGUCCCCUUGGUGGUGGGGCCCAUAUAUGUCUUUAUAUGGAUAUGCCUAUCCAUUUUUCCUCUUUGGGCCCCACUUCCCUUUUUUGGCCUUUCA
rnacentral:lncRNA from 1 species